rnacentral:rRNA from 1 species
UGCUCCCAGUUGCUACCGCGUCCUGCUAGGACGGCGGGCACUCUGGGAGGACUGCCGCCGAUAAGGCGGAGGAAGGAGGGGGCAACGGCAGGUCAGUAUGCCCCGAAACCCUUGGGCCACACGCGGCAUAUAAUGGUAGGGACAAUGGGUUCCGACCCCGAGAGGGGAAGGCAAUCCCGAAACCCUGCCCCGGUUGGGAUUGAGGGUUGUAACUCACCCUCAUGAACGUGGAAUGCCUAGUAAUCGCGUGUCAUCAUCGCGCGGUGAAUACGUCCCUGCUCCUUGCACACACCGCCCGUCGCUCCAUCCGAGUGGGGUCAAGGCGAGGCUCGGUCCCAAAAAGGCCGUGACGAACCUAGGCUCCGCGAGGAGGGAGAAGGCGUAACAAGGUGGCCAUAGGGGAACCUGUGGCCGGAUCACCUCCU